ACGUAGGUCACAAGCGUUGUCCGGAAUUACUGGGUGUAAAGGGAGCGCAGGCGGGAAGACAAGUUGGAAGUGAAAUCUAUGGGCUCAACCCAUAAACUGCUUUCAAAACUGUUUUUCUUGAGUAGUGCAGAGGUAGGCGGAAUUCCCGGUGUAGCGGUGGAAUGCGUAGAUAUCGGGAGGAACACCAGUGGCGAAGGCGGCCUACUGGGCACCAACUGACGCUGAGGCUCGAAAGUGUGGGUAGCAAACAG
rnacentral:rRNA from 1 species